CAGUCGCCACGGUAAAACGUAGGUGGCAAGCGUUGUCCGGAAUUAUUGGGCGUAAAGGGCUCGCAGGCGGUUUCUUAAGUCUGAUGUGAAAGCCCCCGGCUCAACCGGGGAGGGUCAUUGGAAACUGGGAAACUUGAGUGCAGAAGAGGAGAGUGGAAUUCCACGUGUAGCGGUGAAAUGCGUAGAGAUGUGGAGGAACACCAGUGGCGAAGGCGACUCUCUGGUCUGUAACUGACGCUCAUGCACGAAAGCGUGGGGAGCAAACAGGAUUAGAUACCCCGGUAGUCCCUGUCUCUUAUAC
rnacentral:rRNA from 1 species